CAGCGUUCUCAGGGCGGGGUGAAAGUCCCCACCGGCGGUGAUGGCGAUUGAUUCGCAUAAGCCCGCGAGCGCCCGGCUUUCCCAAGGCCGGGGUCAGCAGAUUCGGUGUGAUUCCGAAGCCGACGGUCAUAGUCCGGAUGAAAGAGAAUCGCGA
rnacentral:ncRNA from 2 species